CAAUAACUCCUCCCAAUUUAUAGCUCCACUCACACAUACCCUUAGACCAAUCAGUGAACAGGAUAUUCAUGAUCACCUCAUAUGGGCAGACUGCAUGACUCCUUUUAAGGACAAAGGAAUGUGAGUAGAGUUGAUGCACAUGAUCAGUACAUGAAUGACAGUAUCUUAGCUACAUGUGACUAACAGAUACAACAAACACCUGUACUUGUAGAUGCCACAUGGAG